ensembl:snoRNA
GAUUGUCAUGAUGAUUGGCAAGAUGUUCAACUGCUCUGAAAAGAGAGAAUGAUGUAACAGCCAUUCUGAACAAAA